CCCUCGAUGGUCUAAUGGAUGAUAUCAUCUUGUCGUCUCAGAAGAGAACAAGCGCGGGAGACCUGGUGUUCGAUUCCCAGUCGGGGAG